AUUUUCCCAUUUAAAAAACUAGUUGGUGGCAGUUUAUGGAUUCGCACGAGAAGAAGAGACAUUUCACAGAACAGCAUUACUUUACCUUCUGUUUCUACUGAGGUGUGUAUCUGGUUGUUCUGUGAGACAGAC
rnacentral:snoRNA from 1 species